rnacentral:rRNA from 1 species
UUUGUCCUACGGGAGGCAGCAGUGGGGAAUAUUGGACAAUGGGGGGAACCCUGAUCCAGCGACGCCGCGUGAGUGAAGAAGUAUUUCGGUAUGUAAAGCUCUAUCAGCAGGGAAGAAAGAAAUGACGGUACCUGACUAAGAAGCCCCGGCUAACUACGUGCCAGCAGCCGCGGUAAUACGUAGGGGGCAAGCGUUAUCCGGAUUUACUGGGUGUAAAGGGAGCGUAGACGGCAGGGCAAGUCUGGAGUGAAAGGCGGGGGCUCAACCCCCGGACUGCUCUGGAAACUGCCAGGCUGGAGUGCAGG